AUUGAACGCUGGCGGCAUGCCUUACACAUGCAAGUCGAACGGCAGCGGACCUUCGGGUGCCGGCGAGUGGCGAACGGGUGAGUAAUAUAUCGGAACGUACCUUUCAGGUGGGGGAUAACGUAGCGAAAGUUACGCUAAUACCGCAUAUUCUGUGAGCAGGAAAGCAGGGGAUCGCAAGACCUUGUGCUGAUUGAGCGGCCGAUAUCAGAUUAGCUAGUUGGUGAGGUAAAGGCUCACCAAGGCGACGAUCUGUAGCGGGUCUGAGAGGAUGAUCCGCCACACUGGAACUGAGACACGGUCCAGACUCCUACGGGAGGCAGCAGUGGGGAAUUUUGGACAAUGGGCGCAAGCCUGAUC
rnacentral:rRNA from 1 species